rnacentral:rRNA from 1 species
UACGUAGGUGGCAAGCGUUGUCCGGAAUUAUUGGGCGUAAAGCGCGCGCAGGCGGUCCUUUAAGUCUGAUGUGAAAGCCCACGGCUCAACCGUGGAGGGUCAUUGGAAACUGGGGGACUUGAGUACAGAAGAGGAGAGUGGAAUUCCAUGUGUAGCGGUGAAAUGCGUAGAUAUAUGGAGGAACACCAGUGGCGAAGGCGGCUCUCUGGUCUGUAACUGACGCUGAGGCUCGAAAGCGUGGGGAGCGAACAGG